CAUAGCGACUAUCGUGGCAUAUCAAUAAGCGGAGGAAAAGAAACUAACUAGGAUUCCCUCAGUAACGGCGAGUGAAGCGGGAAGAGCUCAAAUUUGAAAUCUUCAAGGUUUUACCUUGACGAAUUGUAGUUUAAAGAAGUGUUUUUCUGUUAGGAGUUAGGUAAAAGUUCUUUGGAAUAGGACAUCAUAGAGGGUGAGAAUCCCGUAUUUGACUAUUCUUUCUAACUUUGUGAUACACUUUCAACGAGUCGGAUUGUUUGGGAAUGCAGUCCAAGAUGGGUGGUAAAUUUCAUCUAAAGCUAAAUAUUGGCGAGAGACCGAUAGCGAACAAGUACCGUGAGGGAAAGAUGAAAAGAACUUUGAAAAGAGAGUUAAACAGUACGUGAAAUUGUCAAAAGGGAAGCGUUUGACACCAGCUGUUGUUUAGUUGAAAAUCAAUUCAAUAGUUUUUUGAUUCUAAGUAGUAUUGACUUCAUCAGCUUGCUGCUUUCUUCUCAGAAAUUAUUGAAUGCACUUUUCAGUCAACAAGUCAACAUCAAUUUCUUUUGUUGUAAAGAGGGUAAGAGGAAGGUGGCUUGCGCUUCGGCUCAAGUGUUUUAUAGCCUUUUAUCUCUGCAAUCGGAGAGAUUGAGGUCUGCAGCGUAGAUCCUUCGGGGUUAGAUACAUUGGUGCUAAGCUAUAGCCUUGUAUAGACAACUUGUUGACUAUGCUCAGUCAUGUAGCUUACUCGCUGAUGCUAUUUUACCUACGCUUAGGAUGUUGAUAUGCAUGACUGAUA
rnacentral:rRNA from 1 species